UUAAGCGACUAAGCGUACACGGUGGAUGCCCUGGCAGUCAGAGGCGAUGAAGGACGUGCUAAUCUGCGAUAAGCGUCGGUAAGGUGAUAUGAACCGUUAUAACCGGCGAUUUCCGAAUGGGGAAACCCAGUGUGAUUCGUCACACUAUCAUUAACUGAAUCCAUAGGUUAAUGAGGCGAACCGGGGGAACUGAAACAUCUAAGUACCCCGAGGAAAAGAAAUCAACCGAGAUUCCCCCAGUAGCGGCGAGCGAACGGGGAGGAGCCCAGAGCCUGAAUCAGUGUGUGUGUUAGUGGAAGCGUCUGGAAAGGCGCGCGAUACAGGGUGACAGCCCCGUACACAAAAAUGCACAUAUUGUGAGCUCGAUGAGUAGGGCGGGACACGUGGUAUCCUGUCUGAAUAUGGGGGGACCAUCCUCCAAGGCUAAAUACUCCUGACUGACCGAUAGUGAACCAGUACCGUGAGGGAAAGGCGAAAAGAACCCCGGCGAGGGGAGUGAAAAAGAACCUGAAACCGUGUACGUACAAGCAGUGGGAGCCUCUUUAUGGGGUGACUGCGUACCUUUUGUAUAAUGGGUCAGCGACUUAUAUUCUGUAGCAAGGUUAACCGAAUAGGGGAGCCGAAGGGAAACCGAGUCUUAACUGGGCGUUAAGUUGCAGGGUAUAGACCCGAAACCCGGUGAUCUAGCCAUGGGCAGGUUGAAGGUUGGGUAACACUAACUGGAGGACCGAACCGACUAAUGUUGAAAAAUUAGCGGAUGACUUGUGGCUGGGGGUGAAAGGCCAAUCAAACCGGGAGAUAGCUGGUUCUCCCCGAAAGCUAUUUAGGUAGCGCCUCGUGAAUUCAUCUCCGGGGGUAGAGCACUGUUUCGGCAAGGGGGUCAUCCCGACUUACCAACCCGAUGCAAACUGCGAAUACCGGAGAAUGUUAUCACGGGAGACACACGGCGGGUGCUAACGUCCGUCGUGAAGAGGGAAACAACCCAGACCGCCAGCUAAGGUCCCAAAGUCAUGGUUAAGUGGGAAACGAUGUGGGAAGGCCCAGACAGCCAGGAUGUUGGCUUAGAAGCAGCCAUCAUUUAAAGAAAGCGUAAUAGCUCACUGGUCGAGUCGGCCUGCGCGGAAGAUGUAACGGGGCUAAACCAUGCACCGAAGCUGCGGCAGCGACGCUUAUGCGUUGUUGGGUAGGGGAGCGUUCUGUAAGCCUGUGAAGGUGUGCUGUGAGGCAUGCUGGAGGUAUCAGAAGUGCGAAUGCUGACAUAAGUAACGAUAAAGCGGGUGAAAAGCCCGCUCGCCGGAAGACCAAGGGUUCCUGUCCAACGUUAAUCGGGGCAGGGUGAGUCGACCCCUAAGGCGAGGCCGAAAGGCGUAGUCGAUGGGAAACAGGUUAAUAUUCCUGUACUUGGUGUUACUGCGAAGGGGGGACGGAGAAGGCUAUGUUGACCGGGCGACGGUUGUCCCGGUUUAAGCGUGUAGGCUGGUUUUCCAGGCAAAUCCGGAAAAUCAAGGCUGAGGCGUGAUGACGAGGCACUACGGUGCUGAAGCAACAAAUGCCCUGCUUCCAGGAAAAGCCUCUAAGCAUCAGGUAACAUCAAAUCGUACCCCAAACCGACACAGGUGGUCAGGUAGAGAAUACCAAGGCGCUUGAGAGAACUCGGGUGAAGGAACUAGGCAAAAUGGUGCCGUAACUUCGGGAGAAGGCACGCUGAUAUGUAGGUGAAGCGACUUGCUCGUGAGCUGAAAUCAGUCGAAGAUACCAGCUGGCUGCAACUGUUUAUUAAAAACACAGCACUGUGCAAACACGAAAGUGGACGUAUACGGUGUGACGCCUGCCCGGUGCCGGAAGGUUAAUUGAUGGGGUCAGCGCAAGCGAAGCUCUUGAUCGAAGCCCCGGUAAACGGCGGCCGUAACUAUAACGGUCCUAAGGUAGCGAAAUUCCUUGUCGGGUAAGUUCCGACCUGCACGAAUGGCGUAAUGAUGGCCAGGCUGUCUCCACCCGAGACUCAGUGAAAUUGAACUCGCUGUGAAGAUGCAGUGUACCCGCGGCAAGACGGAAAGACCCCGUGAACCUUUACUAUAGCUUGACACUGAACAUUGAGCCUUGAUGUGUAGGAUAGGUGGGAGGCUUUGAAGUGUGGACGCCAGUCUGCAUGGAGCCGACCUUGAAAUACCACCCUUUAAUGUUUGAUGUUCUAACGUUGACCCGUAAUCCGGGUUGCGGACAGUGUCUGGUGGGUAGUUUGACUGGGGCGGUCUCCUCCUAAAGAGUAACGGAGGAGCACGAAGGUUGGCUAAUCCUGGUCGGACAUCAGGAGGUUAGUGCAAUGGCAUAAGCCAGCUUGACUGCGAGCGUGACGGCGCGAGCAGGUGCGAAAGCAGGUCAUAGUGAUCCGGUGGUUCUGAAUGGAAGGGCCAUCGCUCAACGGAUAAAAGGUACUCCGGGGAUAACAGGCUGAUACCGCCCAAGAGUUCAUAUCGACGGCGGUGUUUGGCACCUCGAUGUCGGCUCAUCACAUCCUGGGGCUGAAGUAGGUCCCAAGGGUAUGGCUGUUCGCCAUUUAAAGUGGUACGCGAGCUGGGUUUAGAACGUCGUGAGACAGUUCGGUCCCUAUCUGCCGUGGGCGCUGGAGAACUGAGGGGGGCUGCUCCUAGUACGAGAGGACCGGAGUGGACGCAUCACUGGUGUUCGGGUUGUCAUGCCAAUGGCACUGCCCGGUAGCUAAAUGCGGAAGAGAUAAGUGCUGAAAGCAUCUAAGCACGAAACUUGCCCCGAGAUGAGUUCUCCCUGACUCCUUGAGAGUCCUGAAGGAACGUUGAAGACGACGACGUUGAUAGGCCGGGUGUGUAAGCGCAGCGAUGCGUUGAGCUAACCGGUACUAAUGAACCGUGAGGCUUAACCUU
rnacentral:rRNA from 1 species